rnacentral:lncRNA from 1 species
UGAUAACGUCACCAGUUAUUUCUUGAUCCCUGUUCCACCAAGUUCAUUGACAAGAGGUCAGAUGCCCAUCAGGCUCAAGCGCGCUGUCCAUGAUGAGAUGGGGGAUGGGGAGAAGGGGUGAGAAGGCAAAAUCGGGAAAAACAUCCCUUCCUACAAAACCUUUGUCAAUGGCCACUGGCCACCACAUUCUCAGAAUACCGACUAAGUUUCCUCGUAGCAAAUUUCCAUGCUUGUGUCACCUCACGUGCUCUCACAAUGUUCCCGGUCCCGUGGGAAUAACAGGGAGGCCAACAGCGGCUUUACCUCCCUUUUACACAAAAAGGAAACUGAGGCAGCAAGUGGUUAUCUUUACAAGUUGUCCUCAGCGAUCUGGUCACUUGCGGGACCCCAAAGGAAGCCCGGAUAUGGAGUCUUGGAGAGAAUCCUCCAUCCUCGACUUAACGUGUCAAACUCUGGGGCUGGGGAAGCUAAGUCCCUUCAUCAGGAAGGAAAAACCAGGCUUCCCCAUUUGGACCUUGCGCGGCCGGCCUCGCCCGCCGGCUCCCAGGGGAGAAGGCGCGGGCCCGUGCGGGGCGCGGCCCCACCGCCUCGCACGCCGGGCCCCUCCCGCCGCAGAGGGCGCGCUCGCGCCCGGGCGGGCACCUGUCCCCUCCCCACCUUCGGCGGCUCCGCGGACCAAGCAAGGGUCCGACGCCCCACAGCCACUACCAGCUGGGGACCGCCGGCAGCAGGGCGAGCGCCGCAGGCCCAGUGGGCUGCAGGAAUCCUCCGAAACUUACAGUUUUCCUACAGCGUGCGCGUCACGGCGAGGUGACGUCACGGGCCCCGGCGUUCCGGGAGGUCAGGCCGCAGGGCGCGGACCACUCGGCCCCACGGCUCCGCCCCAGCGCGCCGGCGGGAGGGACGCCCCUUUGCUCAGCGGCCCCGCCCCCGCCGUGGAGCGCUGGGCGCAGGCGCGGAAAGCGCGGCCGCCGCCUGGCGGGCUUCGCAGGCCGGGACGCUUCGGGCGGGGGCUGCUUUGCUGGAGCUUCGUUUAAAGCGUGUGGCGGGGGUUCAAUAGAAGGGGACGAAGACCCCCGGGAACACAGCAAACAGGCUGUCGCCCAGGUGGUCGGAGUGGGACGCCAGAGUUGUGAGAAUCAAGACCAAGGGAAACAAAAUCCCACUUGGCAACCCCCACGCAUCCCUCUCAGCGCCCGGAUCUGGUCUGAAAGAUCUGUUCCCAGCCUGGGCCCUCUCUGCCCGUGAACUCUCUAUCCACAGAGUUUAACAGGGAGCCAACUUGCAAAGCAAAAACAUGGUUUUCAGAGUUUCAGCCCCAGCAUCAUAAGCAAAGCAUCAAAGGGAAAACGGUCCUGAUGACUUUGCCCAGUUUUUAAACUUGGAAUUGUCUUACAUGGAACUGAAAAGCCCUCGCACACAAGGAGAUUAAUCUCACGGUGUUGAAACUUUUGGAAACCUGGCAUGGAAUUUUCUUCGUAGAUUUGAAAUUCAACUAAGAGAGAUCUACAAUUAGUAAACAAAUAUGGGGAAGUGUUCAACCUCAUUAGCAAUCCAAGAUAUACAAAUCAGAGCAGCAAUAAGAUAACCUUAAUAGUUUGGAAUAGUGCUGGUUUCUAGUGCUGGCUGCCUUGCUGUUACUUCUACUUUGAAAUGUUGCUGGAGGUAGUACAAUUGAGACAAACCCUAUAAAAAAUAAUUUGGCAAUGCAUUUCAAGAACCACAAAAUAUUCUGGAUCUGUAUUUUUUGAAAAUGAAAUUGGAAUCUACAAAAUAAGAAAAAAACUAUAUGCAUAAGAGUUUUUGUGUCACCUUUAUUUACAAGAUAGUCAGUGUACCUGGAACUGCUGUUAAUUAGUUCAGUAGAUUGUCUGAGGUUUUGUGUCCCUUAGACGCAGAGCCUGCGAUGGGGAUCAUUGUGCAGUGAUUUCGUGAGAGUGCUUGCAGGUAAAACCUAGGAGUGAGUGAGGGGUCCAGGAUGGGGCUGAGGAAGAAACGAGGUGAAAAUGAGGGUUCAGAUGAGAUCUAGUUUCAGCCCAAGCCCAGGGGGAACUCUGGAGUGUGAAGAGCCCCAUAACAUUGUCCCACCUUGAACGAAGGGCCUGGCCUUUUGCACAGUGCCAGUCUUUGGAGGAGCAUCAUCUCUAGGGGGAGAGUGUAAUCUUUCCUGCAUUUCCAGGUGAGGCAGCUCCUGUCAACCCUGGAGAAGAGUUCAGUUCAGAGCACCUGGAGGAUGGACCCACUGGCCUGGUAAUGGAGGUCUGCACUCCUCACCUCACCGGAUUGGAGAAUAUGAUUGAUGUGUAGAACCCAGUUCAAUUUAUGAAGUCUAGUGUUCACCCAGGGCAGAUCUCCUGAACUUCAGUUAGGUUUACCAGCCUAACCUUAUCCCUUCGUCUUCUGGGAACAGCGUGCCCCUUUAUCUGAAAAUUGCUUCUUCCAGCGGGAGCUGCUAGAUUGUUUCUCCAAUAUAUCCCAUCUCCUUCUCUCCACUCUGCCUUCUACCACCACUUGGCCGUAGAUGAAAACCAGAAACAAAAAGGAGACCUUGGGAAUUUUGAAGAGAAAUUGGGAGGAAUCUUAAAGCUAGCAGGAGUGGCCAGUCUUCUGCCAAGUUCAUUCAGAAGAGUUUUUAAGUGGAAAAAAAAAAAGUAUUUGCCCAUUUGAGAACUUUUUUUGAGAAGUCUUUUAAAUUGAUGUCUUUUUACUAAAGACUUCCUGUUUAAACCAGAUACUCUUAUUUCUACCUACACUUUAGAAAUGAGUGAUAAAUAUGCAAAUUCAAAAGUAAUAAAUGAAAAUCGCUGAGGUUUUUUCCACCUAAAGCCUUAAAAAUAUUCAAGAGAUGAAGGCAUUGAACACAGCCUGAGAUGACAGAGAAGCACAAAAAUUCAGGAAGACGUGAUGUGGCCAAGUGCUUAUGUUCUAGUUCAGAUCCCUGUUCUACCACUGAACGUCUGUGACUUUGGAUAAGAUCUUCCCAAGCCUCAGUUUCUUCAACGAUCUAAUGGGAGUGGUAUUUCUUUCCUCCCUGGGCAGCGUGGUGGUGGAGAGGGCAGGGAGGUCUGUCUUUUAGGUUCUCAAGUCCGACCGCCUGGCUUUCAACGUUGACUUCGCCUCACACUAGCUGUGUGACCUUAGGCAAUUAGCCCCUCUGGCCUCAGUUUCCUUUCCUGAAAAAGGAACAUAAUAAGAGUACUUACCUUCCGGGGGUGACUGAGUCAAUACCACUGAAAUGCUUAGAAGAAUACUUGACACACAGAAAGCACCAAAACAACAUUGGCUGAUGAUUUGUUGGAAAUUUUUAUGACUUUUAAAUAAUGUUUGUAAAGAAAGUAAAUAUGUUCAAUAACUUCUCUAACAAGGAUUUGAUCUGCAUGUAUUUCAUAGCAUGGGGGGUUAUUCUGUAUGCACAUCAGCUGAGUUUUCCAGUUUGAUGUCAUCAUCAUUUAGAACAAAUGAAUCACAUAUCACAUGACAAGACAAUGGAGGCCUUCUAUGUGGAAUAUUGACAGAUAGAUCUCUCUAAGUUCGUAUUAUUAAUAUGGUGCAUCUUCUUUCUUCAUUUCUUUUUCAAGGAAUAUAAAAUAUUCUCCUAUCUUAGCAUGAUGGGUCAUACUGACACCACUGAAAACAAAACAGUCACUAAGAAACAGGUUUUAAUAAAAUUUGCUCUCCUCUUUAAGAAUGACAAGAAUGGAAGGAAGAGAGGGAGGGGAGAAGAGAGAGAGACUGUGAAAGUGAACAAAUGGGGCAUAAAAAUAAAACAAAAUAAAGUAGUUUCA